AUUAGCUUAGUUAGGUGAAAAAACAUCACAAGAACCUUGGUUAGCUCAUAACUUAGCAUAUCUUCCUCCUAAAUGACAUAAUAAGCUCAAAAUAUGAAAAGUAUUAUAAUCAUCCUCUUCCUCUUGUUCUACGUCUUCUUCUUCUUCUUCUUCUUCUCCUCCUCCUCCUCCUCCUCCUCCUCCUUCUUCUUCUUCUUCCCCUCCCCCUUCUUCUUCUUCUUCUUCUUCUUCCUCUUUGUCUUCUUCUUCUCCUUCUCCUU
rnacentral:lncRNA from 1 species